rnacentral:rRNA from 1 species
CCUAACACAUGCAAGUCGAACGGUAACAGGAAACAGCUUGCUGUUUCGCUGACGAGUGGCGGACGGGUGAGUAAUGUCUGGGAAACUGCCUGAUGGAGGGGGAUAACUACUGGAAACGGUAGCUAAUACCGCAUAACGUCGCAAGACCAAAGAGGGGGACCUUCGGGCCUCUUGCCAUCAGAUGUGCCCAGAUGGGGUUAGCUAGUAGGUGGGGUAACGGCUCACCUAGGCGACGAUCCCUAGCUGGUCUGAGAGGAUGACCAGCCACACUGGAACUGAGACACGGUCCAGACUCCUACGGGAGGCAGCAGUGGGGAAUAUUGCACAAUGGGCGCAAGCCUGAUGCAGCCAUGCCGCGUGUAUGAAGAAGGCCUUCGG